UCGGUGCCGCAGCUAACGCAUUAAGUACUCCGCCUGGGAAGUACGCUCGCAAGAGUGAAACUCAAAGGAAUUGACGGGGACCCGAACAAGUAGCGGAGCAUGUGGUUUAAUUCGAAGCAACGCGAAGAACCUUACCUAAGCUUGACAUCCCAAUGACAUCUCCUUAAUCGGAGAGUUCCCUUCGGGGACAUUGGUGACAGGGGGUGCAUGGUUGUCGUCAGCUCGUGUCGUGAGAUGUUGGGUUAAGUCCCGCAACGAGCGCAACCCUUGUCUUUAGUUGCCAUCAUUAAGUUGGGCACUCUAGAGAGACUGCCAGGGAUAACCUGGAGGAAGGUGGGGAUGACGUCAAAUCAUCAUGCCCCUUAUGCUUAGGGCUACACACGUGCUACAAUGGGUAGUACAGAGGGU
rnacentral:rRNA from 1 species